UACGUAGGGGGCAAGCGUUGUCCGGAUUUAUUGGGCGUAAAGAGCGUGUAGGCGGCUUUGCAAGUCCGUUGUGAAAACUCGAGGCUCAACCUCGAGACGCCGGUGAAAACUGCAAAGCUAGAGUCCGGAAGAGGAGAGUGGAAUUCCUGGUGUAGCGGUGAAAUGCGCAGAUAUCAGGAGGAACACCCGUGGCGAAAGCGGCUCUCUGGGACGUUACUGACGCUGAGACGCGAAAGCGUGGGGAGCAAACAGG
rnacentral:rRNA from 1 species